CGUGGCUGCUGGCCUGUGGUUGGCUGCGGUAACACUUCAUGAUGUCCUGGAAGGUGUGAGUCUCUUUGGUGAUCUUUGGUGAAGAGAAGAAGGAACCACACAGUUAGAAUGAUGCAAACCAAACCAUCAGAUCUCAGGUCGUCUUGAUUCUGGUUCAGAGACGCUGCCAGAAUCACUUCCUCCCAAAAACCUCAGCUGCCAAAUUCCUGAAAGAGUUAAUAUUCUCACCUUGGAAAUAAUGUAGACGCUGCAGAGCAGCAGCUGGUCGAGGUGUCGGUCCUUCAUCAGGUCGGUGCAGUGAACCAGAGCGUGUUCGAAACACGUCCAGAUCUUCCCCCGCAGCUCGGAGGAGAUGUCCAACCUCGCGCACAAGUCCCUCAGACGAACGCUGGCCAGGUGAUACGCCUGAGACAGAGACAGAGGACGAGCUGCUCCUACCUUCCUGAAGAACAGAGCGAGCGACCCGGUGCGCCGUGGUCGUCCACUUCCCGCCUGGGGGUCAGAGGUCGUGGGCAAGGGGGCGGAGAUCCUGCUCGGGGAGGCGGUGAGCAGGAACCGAGCAGUGACGGUGCCAGAGGAGUCGCACGGCUGGACCGGGAUCAGCCUGAUGGUGCACUCAUUACUCAGACCUGCAGAUUUUAACAGAGAGCGGGAGACUGAGGAGAGUGGUGGGCGUCACCUGGCCUCCGAUCUUCAGGGUUCCACUCGAGCCGAACGUCAACCUUUUGGCCGGAGACGACAUCGGGCUCAAGCCGGGAUUCAGCCCCGACGCCAGGGUCGGGGGGUCGUCUCCAAACAGACGGCGCUUGGCGCUGCCGGCUGCAGGAGAGCUGUACCGGUCGUGGACCGACAGAGGAGACGGAGGCACGUCUGGAGGAAGGAAGGAAGCGACGGCAUUUACAAGGUUAUUAAAGAACCAGAAUUAAAAACAGGCACAAAGGAAAAACUAUGAUCUGACCCCUGAUUAUUCUAAAGUGAAACGUAGAACCAAAAAAUGGCAGGUGGAUGUAGAUCAUAGUGUUGAUUCAAUGGUGGUUCCAGUUUAGUGGAUUCUGUAUCGUGCCGGCUGAUCGUAGUGGUAAUGGAGGAUCCCUUGUCAGAU